UACGGAGGGUGCAAGCGUUAUCCGGAAUCAUUGGGUUUAAAGGGUGUGUAGGCGGACUAAUAAGUCAGUGGUGAAAUCCUGCAGCUUAACUGUAGAACUGCCAUUGAAACUGUUAGUCUUGAGUAUAGACGAGGUAGGCGGAAUGAGUUAUGUAGCGGUGAAAUGCAUAGAUAUAACUCAGAACACCGAUUGCGAAGGCAGCUUACUGGACGACAACUGACGCUGAGGCACGAAAGCGUGGGUAGCGAAAGGG
rnacentral:rRNA from 1 species